rnacentral:rRNA from 1 species
AGCGAACGCUGGCGGCAGGCCUAAUACAUGCAAGUCGAACGGCUCUUCGGAGCAGUGGCGGACGGGUGAGUAACGCGUGGGAAUGUGCCCUUUGGUACGGAACAACACAGGGAAACUUGUGCUAAUACCGUAUGUGCCCUUCGGGGGAAAGAUUUAUCGCCAUUGGAGCAGCCCGCGUUGGAUUAGGUAGUUGGUGAGGUAAAGGCUCACCAAGCCUACGAUCCAUAGCGGGUCUGAGAGGAUGACCAGCCACACUGGGACUGAGACACGGCCCAGACUCCUACGGGAGGCAGCAGUGGGGAAUCUUGCGCAAUGGGCGAAAGCCUGACGCAGCCAUGCCGCGUGAAUGAUGAAGGUCUUAGGAUUGUAAAAUUCUUUCACCGGGGACGAUAAUGACGGUACCCGGAGAAGAAGCCCCGGCUAACUUCGUGCCAGCAGCCGCGGUAAAAC